ACAAAUGUGAUUGGUCUACUAAUGGAUUGCCAUGUAUAUUUUUAUUUAUCUGUAAAAGUGUGAGAGAAAAAUGUCUGCCAAUUCAUAAUUCAUUAAGGAAAUUAAGAAAAACAAAUAUAUUCGGAAACUACGCGUGUUUGUAUGUAAGCAUUAGAUUUUCUUAUGA
rnacentral:sRNA from 1 species